AUGGAUUUUAUAAAACCUCACAAUCAUCAUUCAUCUCAACCUUACUCAGAAACACCAUCCACCACAAAAUCCAUCUCAAAAUUGCCUACAUUCUACUCAAAUCCACUCUUCCAUCACCUUUACUACAUCUCAACUUUAACCCUUCACUUCUCCACGAACCACAGUGAAACAGAACAUAACCCACAACACAAACACACGAUCCUAACUAUACACAGAGGAAAAUUUUCUGUAGAAACACAAUAA